AUGAAAUCAGUUUUGAACAAAUCGGAGUUUCCAACAAAGACUUAUAGGCAGCUCGGUAUCAAAAGGUCAGAAUCUCAAAAGUUGCACAGAUUCGAAUCGUUACGUCUAAACAAGAGAUAUAUCAUAUGCAAGGCUAGAACAAUUCAAAGUUCCUCAAAUUCAAAGUAAAUGUAGAGAUAAAAUUACAGUAAGGAAAGAUCAGGACACUUGCAAUAGGAAAGAAUUGAAAGCUUGCAAUAGGAAGGAUCGGAACACUUGCAAUAGGAAAGAUUAGAACAAUAACAAGAGAAACGAUCGGGAAACUUGCAAUAGAAAAGAUUAGAAUAAUAACAGGAGAAACGAUCAGGAAACUUGCCUUUUGAAGGUUUUGAUCCAAAGAUUCGAAGAAGGUGUCAGCCCAAAUCCUUCUACUUUUCCUCCGUCCCCUCCCUGUUUCGUUUUAUGCACUCGUUUUUUUCUUUCUUCACAACUACACCACGUGUCGAACACCGAGGCACAGUCACAUGCUCUCUCUUACUCUCAUUCCUUCUUUUUCUUUCCCAAACGCAGCUGCCACAGCCGCCGCCGCUGCCGCUGCCACAAUCGCAGCCCCUUCCACCGCACUACCUUACUUCCUCCCUUCUCUCGCAGACAUAACUGCUGCAUACGCAGUCGCUGCUGCUGCGGUCGCAAUCCCGUCCGCAGUCCCUUUUUCCCCCUUUCCUUUCUUUUCUUUCCCAGUUGCAACUGCCACAGUCGUAGUCGCAGCCAUGGCCGCAGCCACCACAGCCGCAACCUCUUCUUCCUCCCCUACUAUGUUUGUUAGAGCUAGCCCCAGAAUAUUUACCAAAGGAUAAUUUUGGCA
rnacentral:lncRNA from 1 species